AAAUAAUGCUUGUGGGGUCAUAGCGCGCGCAGCGCGAAAAUUUUUUUUAGCCUCGUUUGGUACUUCGGACUGUACUAACUAUUUCAGUUGGAUAAGAUAAAUAGUCGUCGGAUAGUACUAACUCCAUUAGUCGGGCGUUUGGUGCAGUGUUGAAUUAAUCUGUGCAUGGAACAAUAAUAAAUUUUUUUAAUAAUUUUUAACAAAAUAAUUGGUGUUAAAAUGAAAAAACUCACAAUAUAAACAAAUCAUCAAUAUAAUCAAAAUAAAUAUGAAUUGAAUUUCAAUUAAAUUAAAUAUAUUCUACAUAUACAAAAUAUUCAAAAUAAAUACUCACAAUAUAAACAAACCAUCAACAUAAUCAAAAUAAAUAUGAAUUGGAUUUCAAUUAAAUUAAAUAUAUCAUACAUAGGGUUUAGAACUUACUUGGAUUGUGAAAUUUCACAAUAACAAUGAGCAAAUACAAAGAGCAAAGCUGGGAGGAGAUGGAGUUGAGGGUUUGGAGGGGGGGGAUUGAGUUUGGAACUUAGGGUUGGAGGAGGAGAAAACAAAAGAAAUUUGGGGGUUUU
rnacentral:lncRNA from 1 species